AAAAGAGAAAGAGAGAGAGAGAGAGAGAGAGGGAGAUGAAAAGGACAGCCAACUGUUCCUGUACUGUAACAUUUAAACCUCAUGUUUUCUACCUUCUCUUCAUCAUUCUCUCUCUCUUUGCUCUUUCUUUCACAUAGUUUU